CCAGGCCCCGCCCCUCCCCGGCUUCCGUAACCUGACGCUUCCCGGAGGAGGAGGAGCGGGAUGGAUGUUCUGCGUCCCACUCUGAUAAGGAUCGGGGGGCGCGUAUACAGGAAGAAUCUCAUUCAAGAGCAGGCCUACCAGCACGAGGAGGAGGAGGAGGAUUUCUGUGCAGGCCCGGGUGACUGCGCAGACGAACCCUGUGAUGCCUUUGUGGUGGAAGAGACUGAGAAAGGCUUCCAGUGCAGAGUAGAGGUUCCCAGCCCAUUAUACAAGUACAUCAUUGGGAAGAAAGGGGAGACCAAGAAGAAGCUAGAAACAGAGACUCGAACCUCCAUCAGCAUUCCCAAGCCUGGAGUGGAAGGAGAAAUUGUGAUUACAGGGCAGCAUCGCAGCGGUGUCAUCUCUGCCCGAACGCGGAUCGAUGUUCUCCUGGACAGCUUCCGUAAGAAGCAGCCCUUCACACACUUCCUGUCCUUCGCUCUCAACCAGCCCGCCAUCCAGGAGAAGUUCCUGCAGUUCAAGGAGGAAGUGUUGGAGAAAUGCUCAAAGGAUCACGGGGUCAGCAGCAGCCUGUUCCAGAACCCAGCCAAGCUUCACCUGACUCUUGGGACGCUGGUACUUCUGAACGAACAAGAGAUCCAGAAAGCCUGUGACCUCCUACAGCGAUGCAAAGAGGACUUUGUGGACCAAAUUGCUGGAGGGAAGCCCCUGACCGUGGAGGUGGCAGGAGUGGAGUACAUGAACGAUGACCCUGCCAUGAUGGACGUCCUUUAUGCCAAAGUCCACAUGAAGGAUGGCUCAGACAGGUUGCAGGUGAUCGCCGAUCAGCUGGUGGAAAGGUUUGUGGCCUCUGGCCUGAUGCUUAAAGAAUGGGAUAGGGUGAAACUGCAUGCUACGGUCAUGAACACUCUCUUCAGGAAAGAUCCAAGUGCUGAAGAGCGAAACAAUACAAUGGCUGGUAAAUCAUCUUUCAAGGAACGGGAGUCAUUUAAUGGCCGAAAUAUCCUCAAGGAAUCUGACGCGGCAUUUGAAAAAUCAGACUAGACAAUAGAGGAAAAAUAUCUUCCUUGGAGCAUUUGGGCCUCGGAGCCGAGCGAUGGGGUGGCGUUGGAGGCACGGAGGGAAGGCUGAGACGCCGCACUGAGGAGAAGGCAAUGCUGGAGGUGCAGAAGCUUUCCAUUGCUGAGGAGUCAGCCUGAUGAGGAGCGACAGAGGUGCUGCUGCGGCCGCAGGUGCCCUGACAGGCCUGUGCGGGAGGUGGCAGGAGUGAGGAGCAUCCAGCAGAUCGGUGGCAUCCCAAAAGCAGGGUUGGAGGCUGUGGUUCCUGCAGCAAAGGAGAAGAGCUCCGAUGGAGAGUUUGCUGGAGUUCAGUGGACUCUCCCUAGAGUCCAUCAGUGUUCCUGAGUGUUACUUUCACAUUUCUAAAUCUUUUUUUAUUAUUAUUUUUAAUCUGUCUGUGUUUUUUGCCAUCAGUAAGUUUUCCUCUAUCAAUCCUUUUUGCUUAAUGCUGGUACCAGCUCUGUAACACGGUGGUUUGCUGAAGAGUCGGCACCUUCCCUGCCGUAGCUGGCAUGGGUACCGCAGUUGCACUUUGGCCAGGUGAUUUGGAAGAGCGCUUGUUCUCUGUUCUUCUGCAGUGUUUUCCGUCCCAAGCUGUGGAUGCAUUAUACAAGUGUUAUUUCAAAGCUAUCAUCCCUUAUGAGAUGGAAAAAUACCCUGAUGGUUAUUUGGGCAAGCCACAGCCGGCAGUCUGAUCCUGUCUGGGUCCUUCCCCUCCCUUGUAGUGUAAGAUGGGGCAGGAAGGGUUUGGGGUGUUGGGACCGUGCUCUGCUGCCGGUACUGCUGGGAAUAUCCAAGGGAGGGUGCAGAGUCUGAAAACACACAGGUUUCAUUGCUCCAUGUGGAGGCACCUCUUCAGAAAUGCCGCUUAAUUUUUCUCCAUGCUCGUCAGUGGGUGCCUGGGAUUUUGUUUGCUUCUUCCCUUCCCCAAAGGGGAUCACAGUGCCGUAGCAUGCUGAUUUCCCAUGGAAAGCAACCUCCCGGUCCCUCACAGCUUUCCGAGUUUGUUCCUUCAUUCACCGUGGCUCCCGAUGAGGACACGCCAUGGGUAGCGGCUGCCGCCGGGCGAGCUGGUGACUGUUGUCACUGCGUGCAGAGCAGAUGAAGCUGUAAAGCCUGCGGCUCCUCUGAAGCUUGAGUUUAAUCUCCUGGUUUGAGCUCUCUCCACGCUGCUGUCUGCUGCUGGACCCCGAUUCCCAGUGUGAUCUUGUGUGGCCAGAGCACUGGGUCACCUGUCAAAAGCGAUCCUCCUGCACGUGUCCUCCCAUGGAGGCAGAGACAAGUGGCACUCAGCCUGUUCCCAUGCCCUCCUGGAAGGGAUCUUUUGGUGGCUAAACCUUCGACCCGGGCGAAACAGAGAAGAGGUUGCUGGCGUCCCGUCCUCAGCGUGGGCUGCACAGCAGGAAUGACAGGGAGCUCAUCCGCAGCCGUAGGUUCCUGGAGCUGCGAACCUCUUCCUUCCUGCAUCUCAGAAGUUGCUAAUUUCUGUGUUCAUUCCAGAUACGGAAAACGGGACCUCCCUCAGCCCCCUGCCGAGGGCAGCUGGGUUUCUUAGGCUGAUUGGUCACAGGCUAAUGACAUUACAUGCCUCUGCUCGCCUGCAGCGCUGGUUCACCGGGGACAGUUUUGUACUGUUAAUCUAUAAUACCCCUACCCUAAGGCGCUGCUUUCUGUGGCUGGAGUUCACAGCAAAGCGAGCUCCCCGCAGACUCUGCGUGUGUGUGUGUGAGUGUGUGUGCGUGCGCAUUUUGUUCUGCAAUAAUGCUGCUCUUUGGUGGGAGUUUUUAAUUGCAAGGCAUUGCAGUGAAUCGUUGUUCCCUCGGCAUUUCCAAGCUCUCAGCAGAGCUGCUUGGACUUUUUAUUAAUUCAGGAUGGGUUCUUUUGGCUGACUACGGGAGACGACGUAAGCUUUAAAAACUGAUCAAUAAUCCUGAUGGUAGCAGCAAAAUCCAGGCCAGGCGGCGUGAGUGCAAGCCAGAGAUUACGUGAAGGAAGUUUUAAAUACUUCUUACUCCCUUCCCUUGUCUGGACUUAUUUUGUCCUCCUGCUGCCCAGUGCCUCUCCAGGCAAAUCCAUUAAUAUUUCUUAUGCUUGUUGAGUUCGUGACAGGUGAUUUAAAAGCACCGUUUUGUGUUGGCAUCUCCGCUCUUCAUAACCAGAGCCGAAACACGUCGCUGCUGUCCUUACGUGGAUCAGCGCCGUGAUUUAUUGCUGUUGUUUCCAGGUUUGAACACAAAGGUGCUGUCUCAUUCUGGGAGGGCUGGCUGCGGGAAGCGAGCCCCCGAGGAUGGCUGCAUGACAAAUACCCGCGCCCAGGAACACAACAUCAUUUAGACACAUGUUUUUUAACUGCUUCGUCGACGAAUCGUCCUCCUUUGCAUUUGUUUCUGCAGUGCUUUGGUACAACCUGCUUCACAGGCAAAGGCGGGGGGAAAAAUAGAGAAAAGAGGCAUCCUGGGUCUGAUCUGUUGCUCUGCCUUUGAUAAGGAAGUAGUUGUGGUUUGGGGGCUGAAGUUUGUACUUGUGUUUUUGGCUCACGUUUGCAAGGAGCCAGUGGUUCGAUGUGUGAUUCUUUCUCUCCCAAAACAAAUCCUCAGCCUCUGUCUGCCUUCAGAAAAUGAUUGUCGCACCCCAAGGGAGCCCAGCUGUGUAAUUUGUGGGUAAUAGAGGGGAACAGACCUCGGAGAAAGAAGGGCUUCCAAUAUCUGAAUGGAAUCAUCUUAAAUGAGAGAGAUGGGGUGUGGAAAUGACAGGCAUGCUGGUAGCUUUUCCUGGCUCAGAAUAAGCGACUUCUGGGGAGAAAUGGAGAAAAGCUUGCCUUCUGGGAGCUAUCACAGGGCUGCCUGCCUUUCAUCGCCACCUGCGUGAUUGUGUCCUUGGACCGGCCUCCCAGAAGGGAGAGGGAGAUGAGGGAGCGCUUACAGAGGUGGGCCUAUGGUAGUUUGCAGGUUGACAUGUGAAUUAUGGAUUAUCCACGGACUGCUACCCUGCCUCCCUCGGGGGCUCGUGGCUUUUGGGGAAGGCAACAGGGCUGCAGUCCUUGCCGUCCCCUGUGGGUCCUGGGAUGCUGCUCCCGGCAGGAUGCUGUGCCGUUCUCUAGGCACUCGCUUCCUCCCCAUGGGAGAGGCCGUGUCCUUCUAGGCAUCCUCGCCAAGCAGCUUCUGAUCCUCACGCUGUGGUUUGAAAGGCAGGGCGCAUCUCUGGCACGUUUGCUUGGAGGUGCUGGGUCUGGGGUUAAAAGUUAACAACGCGCUUGCCUUAUUGGGUUCUAAUUUAAUUUGGGAAGGCAGCAGGGGGACAGAGGGCACUUAGUCUGCUAAGUGCUAUUCCCUUGAUGGGAGUGAGUAGCUUGCACGGCGUGCGUGGCAUCGACUUCAUCAACUGACCUUUGCCUCCAUCAGGUUCAUUUUAAAAAAUAAAAUAAAAAAAAAAAAUCCCAACCCCCAACCUCUUAUUUAUUCUUUAGGCAGCGAGGACAUAAAUCCUUCAGUGUGUUGGGAUUUAUAGAAUUACUGCGCUUUUGCUGAGCCUCACGUCCCACUCCAAUCAAAUGACACGGCUUUCAGUAACCGCGCGGGGGAUUGCGUGUUUCCUCCCCCUGCCUGCCUCUGAGCCGCUCCCGACCCGCUCCUCCUUGUGCUCCCUGUGGCCUUUUUGGGGAAAGGUGGGCCCUUGGCACCCAUGGGAAGGGACAGGAGGGGGACAAGGCAAGUCUUAGGGUUACCAGCAUUUACGACUGGAGCAUAACAACCUCCAGGUAGCUUCUUUCCUCACCCAGAAUAAAAAAAUGCUAAAACGCUUUCAUAGGAGGCAUUUCAUCAGCUGUGUUACAGGCCUCCUCCGAAACCAGAGCGUUUCCGUGGUGGCUGGGGAGAGGGGGGAGAUAUAAAUAUCUUUUCUUGGUUCUGCUUGGCUUUUCCCCAAGAUAAAUAGAAGUGAAAGUCAAAAGUAGAGGCUCGGCCUUCUGAAAUCUCUUCCUGAGCCCCCAGGGACCCGAGGGCAGGAUGCUUCCAUGGUGGGGAGCCAGCUCCCGGUGUCUCGGGGGGGGUGUCAGAGGGUGAUGUUUGCGGGUCCUCCCUCCCCACUGCCUGAGGCAGAUCUUGGCCGUCCGAUUGCUUGGCUGUGCUCCGCACGCCUGGCGGCCAGUGGCUGCUGUCGCGGGAAGCCCCAGGGAGCAAAGAAGCAUGGGUGAGAAGCCGGCUUGAAACGAGAGCAGGAAAAAACCUCUGUGGUUGUCCUCUAAAUCUUGUGGCAUGUUUGCUCUCAGAAAGUACAGGCACAUUACCAAAAAUCAAUAGUUCUAGCGGCGUUCUCCCUGGGAAACACACAGGCGCUCGGACACACGAGAGGUGGUACGUCUUAAAAAAGCCAAGGGAAUACAAAGUGCUUUGGUACGAGCAGCGUACAAAUGGAGGGCCCUUGACCUGGGCAGCGUCUUCUGGGACUUCUCGAUUGUCUUUCUGGUCCGAUGUGCAUGAGGCUGCGCCAGGGCUGGGGGAGGGUUUGCCUCAUUAACUAGUUUUGCUACUUUUUGCUUUGAAGUACACGUCUUUUGUAAGAAAAACAGGUUGUGGUGUGCAGGGAUAAUAAAAACAAGCAUUUGAAAGACUCUUCCUUUGGCUGCUUUGUGUAAAGCUUUGACUUCUAGGGCUGCUGAUGGGACCGGCACAUCGCGGCGUUUCGUUUUGUUUAGACACAGAAACGCGUCUCGUCCCCCUUCUCUUUUAAAAAAUCCUUUUCAAAUCCUAGUAUCUUCUUGCUUACCAGCGCACCUACUGCUCCCUCCGUUAGAAACAGGAAUUAUUUCCAUUUUUCCUUGGAGAAUGCUCUGUGAAGGCAAGGAGCGUCAAUGUGAACGCCCGUUUUGAGAGGGGUGGGUGUUAAGCUUGGGGGUGCGUGGGCACGCUGGCGGCGAGCACUGCAGCGCACCCCGGAGAGAGCUUCAAAGCAUCCUUCCUUCUCCCAUCAGCCAAAACAAAAAGAGAAAGGAGACCAGCCCCUUUUUACGAACAUCUCUUAUUAAUGAGACAUUUUAUCCUAAGUCCUCUAACAUGAACGACGCAGGC